rnacentral:rRNA from 1 species
GACAGAGGUGGCAAGCGUUGUUCGGAUUCAUUGGGUGUAAAGGGCAGGUAGGCUGUUUUGCAAGUCUGACGUGAAAUCCCAGGGCUCAACCCUGGAACUGCGUUGGAAACUGCAUGACUUGAGUAUCGUAGAGGUUAGGGGAAUUCUCGGUGUAAGGGUGAAAGUUGUAGAUAUCGAGAGGAACACCAGUGGCGAAGGCGCCUAACUGGCCGGUGACUGACGCUGAGCUGCGAAAGCAAGGGGAGCAAACAGG